CCUACGGGGGGCAGCAGUAGGGAAUCUUCCACAAUGGGCGAAAGCCUGAUGGAGCAACGCCGCGUGGGUGAAGAAGGUCUUCGGAUCGUAAAACCCUGUUGUUAGAGAAGAAAGUGCGUGAGAGUAACUGUUAACGUUUCGACGGUAUCUAACCAGAAAGCCACGGCUAACUACGUGCCAGCAGCCGCGGUAAUACGUAGGUGGCAAGCGUUAUCCGGAUUUAUUGGGGGUAAAGGGAACGCAGGCGGUCUUUUAAGGCUGAUGUGAAAGCCUUCGGCUUAACCGGGGUAGUGCAUUGGAAACUGGGAGACUGGAGUGCAGAAGAGGAGAGUGGAACUCCAGGUGUAGAGGUGAAAUGCGUAGAUAUAUGGAAGAACACCAGUGGCGAAAGCGGCUCUCUGGUCUGUAACUGACGCUGAGGUUCGAAAGCGUGGGUAGCAAACAGGAUUAGAUACCCGUGUAGUC
rnacentral:rRNA from 1 species